GUUCACUUUGGCAGCACAUACACUAAAAUUAGAAUACAGAAGAGAUUAGCGUGGCUCUUGCACAAGGAUGACACACAAAUUCAUGAAGCAUUCCAUAUUUUA